rnacentral:rRNA from 1 species
GUCUGCAACCCGACUACAUGAAGCCGGAAUCGCUAGUAAUCGCGGAUCAGAAUGCCGCGGUGAAUACGUUCCCGGGUCUUGUACACACCGCCCGUCACACCAUGGGAGUUGGAAAUGCCCGAAGUCAGUGGCCCAACCGGAAGGGGGGAGCUGCCGAAGGCAGGUUCGAUGACUGGGGUGAAGUCGUAACAAGGUACC